rnacentral:siRNA from 1 species
UUAUUAGCCAUUUUCAUUUCUACC